ACUCUAAUACAUUUCGAUUCCUGCCACCUUAAUCGUUGAUAAUCAUCCUUCUCUCGUUUUCGAUACAUAAUCGCAUUAAGUUUUUGUAGAAGUGGGCUCGUAUCGAUGGCUGAUUUAACCUCUCUUAACUGUAAAUAAAGUAAAAUAUAAAAAAGAAACUAAGAGAGAGAGAAAUU
rnacentral:lncRNA from 1 species